rnacentral:lncRNA from 1 species
AUUACCAGGUGCAGCAUGAUGAGAUGGAAGACAGGACUGCACCUGGCUCCGAAAGAAAAGGUGGAGAAGCUGCAGGAGGAGAGGUGUGACGGGCAGCAACUAUCAAACAGAAAGAUUUAACUGUUUGCUGGAAAGGAGGCAAGUCUGAAGUGAGAUCCAGGACUACACAUUUUCAGCGAACUCCCUGUGUGAUACUGAGGAUGCAGCAACAAGGCA